UGAAGGUCUUUGGAUUGUAAACUCCUGUCAGCAGGGAAAAAGGGAGGUGACCUAAUACGUCGUUGACUUGAUUGUACCUGCAGAGGAAGCCCCGGCUAACUCUGUGCCAGCAGCCGCGGUAAUACAGAGGGGGCAAGCGUUAUUCGGAAUUAUUGGGCGUAAAGGGCGCGUAGGCGGCUAUGCAAGUGGCGGGUGAAAUCCCUCGGCUUAACCGAGGAACUGCCUGCCAGACUGCAUGGCUCGAGACCGGGAGAGGUGAGUGGAAUUCCCAGUGUAGCGGUGAAAUGCGUAGAUAUUGGGAGGAACACCAGUGGCGAAGGCGGCUCACUGGACCGGUACUGACGCUGAGGCGCGAAAGCGUGGGGAGCAAACAGGAUUAGAUACCCUGGUAGUCCACGCCGUAAACGAUGAGUGCUUGGUGUAGCGGGUAUCGACCCCUGCUGUGCCGACGUCAACACAUUAAGCACUCCGCCUGGGGAGUACGGUCGCAAGACUG
rnacentral:rRNA from 1 species